AGUAUAUUGACUGUACAAAGGUAGCAUAAUCAUUAGUUUUUUAAUUGAAAACUUGUAUGAAGGAUUUGAUGAGAUAUAAACUGUCUCUUAAUUAUUAUUAAAAAUUUAUUUUUUAGUUAAAAAGCUAAAAUAAUUUUAAAAGACGAGAAGACCCUAUAGAGUUUUAUAUUUUACUUAUUAUUAAAAUUAUAUAAAAGUUAAAGUUAAUAUUAAAUAAAAUAUUUUAUUGGGGUGAUAGAGAAAUUAAAAUAACUUUUUUUAAAAAUUAAAAAUAAAUGAUUAAAUGAUCCAUUAAUAGAUUAUAAGAAAAAAUUACCUUAGGGAUAACAGCGUAAUAUAUUUUUUUUUAGUUCGUAUAAAAAAAAAAGUUUGCGACCUCGAUGUUGGAUUAAGAUAAAAUUUAAAUGCAAAUGUUUAAAAUUUUGAUCUGUUCGAUCAUUAAAAU
rnacentral:rRNA from 1 species